CUGCAAUAAAAACACAUACCCCUUUAAAUAGACGAAGACCGAAAAAUCAAAGAGGACUUUCAGUUCAACAACUCCUGAAAACCCAAAACAAUAAUAGUUGCACACUACUGCUCAACACAAAUGGCUUGAAAGUUCUCAGCUACCGAUGAACCAUUGCUAAUAGUUCAAUGAUUUUGAGAUUUUCUAACUUAAAAAAAAAAAAAAGAGGAAGCACAGUAAGGCAGUGCUCUGAAAUCAUCUAUAAUUGAAAUUUAAAAUUAGUUGCUAAUACUAAUAUUAUGCACAACCAACAUCAAUAACUACUAUCCUCCUAAAAGGCACUUAUUUUAUAGCUUGGCUUACUAACCAUAACAAACAAGAUAAUGUGAACAUUUAUUGAGCUGAAUCCGAGUAGCUCACAAGGGUCUCAACUUUUGUAACCUUAGCUCAAGGCAUGAUUUUGUAGUGGAUGACAAUGAACUUAGAUAAACAAAAUAAAGGCCAAGAAAAAACUGGAAGAAAUAAAAGAUGUUGAACCAACCACAGGGCACUUGUAUCAGCUUACAUUCAAAUGGGAAUUUCAUGAUGCUUAAGAGAGAGACAUGCAAGCUUUCAUAACUUAAAAGUUUUCUAAUUUAAUGUAGUUUCCUUAUAAUUAAGCUUGACGAAAGAACAUUAAUAACAAAAUUCAUUCAGAACACAUGUCUACAUUUAUAACAUCCAACUACUUGAUGAAUUCCUUCAUACCAAAGUUUAUAAGCACAGUUUUUAAUACCUAGAUCAUGAAGGUCUCGUUUCUGAGGUACUUAUAGCUGAAAAGUUAUGUAUUCCAGAAAAAAAUCAAAAUAAAUUGCAUUAUUGUUGUAGAACAGCUCAGCCAAGGACAAGGAAAAAUCUAAUCUUAUGUUUGGAUUGAGGGAUUUGACACUAUGGAUUUGGAGUUGGACUAAAUACAUUGGUUGGAUAUUAUAAAUAAAAAUGGAUUUGGAUUUGGUCCAAAUCCCAUUUAUUCAUGAUAAGCUUAAAAACUAAAGAUUUAAAUAACUACUUUUACUUCUUAUUUCAAAUCCAUCCUACUACAAUCAAAUGUAUCAGCUUUACAUGAUAUAAUAACUUCUAGUCACUUCAAUGGAAAUUAUUUUUAUUAGCCAAACAAAAGAUUUUUAAAUUUAUGAUUUUCAAAUUCUAAAUUUUAAAUCAAACGUUUGAAAUCCAAAUCUGAGAAUCCAAAGGCAACCUAAUAAAAAUUGAAAAUAACUAGUAAGAUUUGAAAUUGAUGAAUUCAAAAG
rnacentral:misc_RNA from 1 species